CUGAUCAGCAAACAGCUGCCUGUGCUUCCUGUGGCCCCGGGGGCAGGUGCACCCGCACAGCAAGGAGGCUGAAAAGAGGUGAAAAAACUCCCUUCUGAAUUGAAAUCACAGACCUGUGACCUGCAUGCUCUCCUAAAUGGGAAGGGGUGAGGAGCGCUGUGGGAAAGGCUCCUCCUUGGCAAGGAAAGGGAUGAUUUCUCCGGAGUUCACCGGACUCCCCCUUUCCCCAGCGCCAAGCAUCCGGACCCAUCUUCGGUUGUGAAUCUGGCCUGGGAUGCAGCCACCUCUUAGAGCAACCCCCGCUGCUGCUUGUGCCCUGCUGUGCUACUGCCUCAGUCACUUCCUGCUUGGUCAAGACCACAGCUGCUGAUGUCACAGCUGAGGCACAUCAAAAAGGCUGCCUGAUUCAAAGAAAGCUGCCGGAUAAAUCAUAGAGCACAGACACUUCUACCUCAUGCUCUUAUGGGACUUUAGGAACCAAACAUAAGCACCUAUGGAAAAUGCACGGUGGUCUUGAAAGGCUGUGUGGUCUUUAUCAGAAAAUAUCUGAAUGACUGUCUCUUAUGUCAGUCCUACUCUGCAGGCUUGCUAAGAUGAUAAUUGAAAGGGCUUUUGGUUUCUGCUUUAGAAUCUGUCACUUAUGUUUUGAAGCGUUGUGAGCAAGCGAUGCAGCAGAUUGCAGGGUGAGGGGGAUGAACCUGGGCCAGAAGCCAGAUGUGUUUCUCCACGCACUGCCCUGACCUACAGCCGGAACUGGGCUCAGUGGUUUCAGCCUCAUUUGCUAAGAAGGGCUGGGUGCGUAAUCUUGGCUGCACCUUAAAAUCCCUGGGAGCUUUUAAGACAUAUUGACACAUAAACUGUAACUCACAUGAAACGAAAACACAUCUCUGGGGCUGGGCUGAGCAAAUGCCUUUUUUUUAAAGGCCCCUCAGGUGAUUCUGUCUCAGAGAUGUUGAAAACCAGUGGGUUAGGAGCUCAGUCAUCUACUUUCAGAUCUGUGAUUAUGCCACUAUUAAAUACAGUUGGCUAUCACAUAGAUUUUUAUGCUUUAGCUUGUUUUUUUUUCUCUGCUAUACCAAAUAAAAUCUUUUGAGCUGUUGUAGUUCCAGUCCUUAAAACAACAGUUGUUACCAUACUGAGGUUAAACAUUAGUGCAUUUGCUUAACAAGGACAUUAAAACUUCUUACCACACUGACAUAAUUUUAAUGAUUUCUAUAAUAAUUAAUAAGAAAAUCAAUAAUUGGAUUUUAAAGCAGGAAACUAGGCAGGAAAGUUGAAAUUCAUAUACCAGUUCAAUGGAAAACAUUAAAAUGUAGUUGUGUGAUGCCCAAUAUUCUAUGCUGUUUGUUGGUUCAUUGGUUUCUCAUCUAUUGUAACAGCACCCAUAGUUAAAAAGCACUACUUUUUUUGGUCUGAUAGUUAAAAAGACAACAACAAUCCUUUGCAUGUAAGAAUUUUUUUCUCAUAAUCACAAUUUUAGAGUUUGCACAUAUUCUAUUCAAUUUCAAAAAUAACUUUAAAGAGUCUAGUACCUGCAGGGAAUAUUACAAUUGCAAUCAUUGUUUUAAUACCAUCUCCUCUCCCUCUUCCCUUCCCAAAAGGUAUAAAGACAUAAACAUCAUCUGCUGCCAAAUAAAUCCUGGAAUUCGAGGGCGAUGCUGGGAAGGUACCAACCUUCGCCUUUUCUAUGGCGUUUGCGAACUCUCCUACCCACAGGAAGCAGCAGUGGGGAGAGAGCAGGAGGAAGCAGUCCCCACUAUUGAGCGCCGAAGCUCGAGGUUCCACCAGCCUGGUCUGCACGUGUCUUCUUCCUGAACACGAGGCAGACACUCACCGUCUUUCCAGACAGAACGGGGAUAGGACGCAC
rnacentral:lncRNA from 10 species